AGAGAAGAUGCCGAAAAUCUCAUCAAAGAGUAGGCA
rnacentral:ncRNA from 1 species